AUGGGUGCGCUGAACUGGUCAGAGGAGACCCCGGAUAUAGUAGGUGGGGGAACGCACAGGCCAAGUCAGGCCUUGGCGUAUGGGAUGCCUGGGCCUAGAAACCAGGCUGUGGGGCGGGCCUUGGCCUCACUCUGCCCAGCCUGGUCGCACCACAGAGCUUCUCCCGGAAGGCAGGCUGGCUGCUGGGUGCCGAGGGGCAGCAUCAGAUCCAGUGGCCUGAAGUUCUCCAACAUGUCCUCAUGUCCUCGGCUCCCUCGGCUGGCCAGGCCCCGCCCCCGGCCCUCCCUGCACCCGGCCGGUGCGCAGGGAGGUCGGAGGAGCGGGCACUGCCCACCCUCCGGAUGUAUAAGCGUCCUGGCCAGAGGCGGGCGGUGCGCGCAAGUGCGCGUGACGCUUGGGCUCCUGGGCUGCGCAGCCUGGGCAGCGUCCCUCCGCUGGGGUCUCCAGCGACGAUACCCAGGCAGCGGAGCGCACCGCCCACCAGGGCUCGGGGUCCUCCGACCGGGUGAAGCUUCGCUGGCUGCCAGGGUCCCCGACCGGGAUGCACUUCAGCACGGUCACCAGAGACAUGGAAGGUGAGCCUCUAGGCCGUGUCUACACUGGCCCGCCCGCCAGACCCCCUGCCUCAGCUGCUAUGGGGCCCGCGUGAAGAGUAGGUGGAGGAAGCUCUUGGUAGGGUGGGCUCCAGGCUUCUGGCUGUGACUCUGGGGCAGAGAGGAAGAGCCAGCAUCCCGCCCAAAGCCUGUCCCCUCACCAGCCUGGGGGCCCAGCUUUGGAGAUGGGCACGCAGGUAAACACAGGCCCGGAAGAGGGCAAGUGAGGCUGGGAAGAAGAGCAGAGUUGGCCGUGAGCUUGGAGAGAGGGGAGGAAAGUUAGUAAGAGAGGAGAGUGCAGAAGAGUUUCACAGAAGGAGAGAAAGCCGCGAGGAAGCCGAGGGAGGCGAGGUGAGCGGGGAGAGAAAUUCCAUCGCGCGUCAGGCGACAAAAUAUCCGCUCAUAAAGUCGAACGCUUCAGAA
rnacentral:lncRNA from 1 species